rnacentral:rRNA from 1 species
CCAGACUCCUACGGGAGGCAGCAGUGAGGAAUAUUGGUCAAUGGGCUUACGCCUGAACCAGCCAAGUCGCGUGAGGGAAGACUGCCCUAUGGGUUGUAAACCUCUUUUGUCAGGGAGCAACGCCGGCUACGUGUAGCCGGACUGAGAGUACCUGAAGAAAAAGCAUCGGCUAACUACGUGCCAGCAGCCGCGGUAAUACGUAGGGGGCAAGCGUUAUCCGGAUUUACUGGGUGUAAAGGGAGCGUAGACGGUUAUGUAAGUCUGGAGUGAAAGCCCGGGGCCCAACCCCGGGACUGCUCUUGGAACUGCGUGGCUGGAGUGCAGGAGGGGCAGGCGGAAUUCCUGGUGUAGCGGUGAAAUGCGUAGAUAUUAGGAGGAACACCAGUGGCGAAGGCGGCCUGCUGGGCUUUAACUGACGCUGAGGCUCGAAAGCGUGGGGAGCAAACAGGAUUAGAUACCCCCGUAUUA